rnacentral:rRNA from 1 species
GUCUAGACCAUACCACCCUGAACGUGCCAGAUCUCGUCUGAUCUCCAAAACUAAGCAGGGUCGGACCUGGUUAGUACUUGGAUGGGAAACUACCUAGGAAUACCAGGUGCUGUAGGCA